GGAGCAGUUGGUAGCUCAGUGGUAGAGUGCAUGCUUUGUGUCCUGGGUUCAAAUCCCAGGUGCUCCC